rnacentral:rRNA from 1 species
UACGUAGGGUGCAAGCGUUUGUCCGGAAUUAUUGGGCGUAAAGAGCUCGUAGGCGGUCUGUCGCGUCGGCUGUGAAAUCCCGAGGCUCAACCUCGGGUCUGCAGUCGAUACGGGCAAACUAGAGUAUUGCAGGGGAGACUGGAAUUCCUGGUGUAGCGGUGAAAUGCGCAGAUAUCAGGAGGAACACCGGUGGCGAAGGCGGGGUCUCUGGGCAAUAACUGACGCUGAGGAGCGAAAAGCGUGGGGGAGCGAAACAGG